rnacentral:rRNA from 1 species
AACGAACGCUGGCGGCAGGCCUAACACAUGCAAGUCGAGCGCGCCUUUCCGGGGUGAGCGGCGGACGGGUUAGUAACGCGUGGGAAUAUACCCUUUGGUACGGAAUAGCCUCUGGAAACGGAGAGUAAUACCGUAUGAGCCCUUCGGGGGAAAGAUUUAUCGCCAAAGGAUUAGCCCGCGUUAGAUUAGGUAGUUGGUGGGGGUAAUGGCCUACCAAGCCUACGAUCUAUAGCUGGUUUUAGAGGAUGAUCAGCAACACUGGGACUGAGACACGGCCCAGACUCCUACGGGAGGCAGCAGUGGGGAAUCUUGGACAAUGGGGGCAACCCUGAUCCAGCCAUGCCGCGUGAGUGAAGAAGGCCCUAGGGUCGUAAAGCUCUUUCGCCUGUGAAGAUAAUGACGGUAGCAGGUAAAGAAACCCCGGCUAACUCCGUG